rnacentral:rRNA from 1 species
AGUUAACGUUGGCGGCGUGCCUAACACAUGCAAGUCGAACGCGUCCUAAGGGCAACUUUAGGAUGAGUGGCGAACGGGUGAGUAUCACGUGGGUAAUCUUCCUUCAAGUGGGGGAAUAAGCUCUCGAAAGGGAGUCUAAUACCGCAUGACAUUCCGGGACACAAGUCCCGUAAUCAAAGCCGCAAGGCGCUUGAAGAUGAGCCUGCGUCCUAUUAGCUAGUUGGUGGGGUAACGGCCUACCAAGGCUUAGAUGGGUAGCCGGCCUGAGAGGGUGAACGGCCACACUGGGACUGAGACACGGCCCAGACUCCUACGGGAGGCAGCAGUGAGGAAUUUUGCGCAAUGGGGGAAACCCUGACGCAGCGACGCCGCGUGGAGGAUGAAGGCCUUCGGGUCGUAAACUCCUGUCAGAGGUGAAGAAUACCCGCAAGGGUUUGACGGUAACCUCAGAGGAAGCCCCGGCUAACUACGUG